rnacentral:lncRNA from 1 species
CUUCCAGAGGGUAUAUGCGUCUGUUUCUUGUGUAACAUGGUGGAAGACACUAUGAUCAAUCCAUUGACGGAUUUGACCAAUAGUUUUUCGAUUUGAUUUCUUCCACUCUAACUCCUUGGCGGGAUCAGGAUUUUUACCCAUCAAUUCUAUGGGAUCAAACAAAUCUUUACAGCUUAGAAGAUUUUCCAUCCGAGGUCUCCAUA